GGGGAAGGGUGGGCUGGUAGUAUAAGUAGCGGCGCCUGGUGCAGUCCGGCAUCACAACUCAGUCAGCAACACAACAAGCAACAUGAUGUCUGCCAAGGUCUUCGUGGUGGCCGCCCUAGUGGCUGUGGCCUGCGCCGCCCCCCGCCCCGACACCCCCCAGUCCUACGGGCCUCCUCCUACCCAUACCUACAAGGAGCCAGGUAUGCCCUACGACUUUGCCUACGCCGUCAAGGACGACUACACCGGCAACGACUUCGCCCACGACGAGAACAGCGACGGCACCGUGACCUCCGGCUCCUACAGGGUGCUCCUGCCCGACGGCCGCACCCAGAUCGUCACCUUCAACGCCGACCACACCAACGGCUACGUCGCUGAAGUCGCCUACGAGGGAGAGGCCUCCUAUCCCGCCCCCGCACCAGCCCCCUACGGGCCACCCGCCCCCUACGCCUAAGCCCCAACAGCCCGAGGACUGCCACCGCCCACUCUACACGCCCACCAAGCUGCGACAGGUCAGCUUGGCAGUGUCCCAGAGUGGGGCGGACGGUCCUGCCCUCCAUGAUGUAACUUAAUGUAUUAUCUUGCCAUAACUUAAGGUCCUCUGGUGGCCGCCGUGAGAACAACAUUAAAUUAUUGUUGUAAAUAAAAUACAAUGACGAGUACGAAA
rnacentral:misc_RNA from 1 species